rnacentral:pre_miRNA from 12 species
CCUCCCAAUGCAAGUAAACAAGAAUAGGCCACGCAGAUUGUGAACAGCCUAUCCUGGAUUACUUGAACCGGGCC